UAUAUAAUUUUGGGUUAAUUAAGUUUUUAGUCCCUAUAAAUAUUCAUAGUUUUGUUUUUAGUCCCUACAAAAUAAGAUCACACUUUUUAGUCCUUGUGACAUUUUCCUUAAGCAUUUUAGGGACUAAAACUGUUGAUGAAAUUUUUUUACAGGGACUAAAAGUGCCGAUGAAAAAAUUUAUAGGGACUAAAAAGUAUGAUUUUAUUUUGUAAGGACUAAAAACAAAACUGUGAAUAUUUAUAGGACUAAAAACUUAAUUAAUCCUAUAAUUUUU
rnacentral:pre_miRNA from 1 species